AGGAGAGAAUCGUAAUUUUGAACUUUCUAUGUCCUUUUCCAGGUUUGUGCAUUUGACUCAGCUACAGCAGUAGUUGCACCGGGAGGGGCAAAAUGUCACCCAAGAGGUAGAGAAGAAAAAAUAGCAAUUGAGGCACCAGUGUCACGUGAUUCAGGGUUGAUGUCCAGCCCAGAGCAUGGCUGUCCCGAAGGUGUCAUAGCAGUAGUGGCCCUCUGGAGCUGUUGUUUCCUCUAGGAAGAAAUACAGCCUUUUAGGUGAGGCCUGUACUCAGCAUUAUACAUUUCAGUAUUAGAAGUUAAGCUUCUGUAUUAGUUUAACCUUAUAAAAACUAGAGCUAUUCACAUAAAU
rnacentral:lncRNA from 1 species